rnacentral:rRNA from 1 species
AACGUAGGUCACAAGCGUUGUCCUGAAUUACUGGGUGUAAAGGGAGCGCAGGCGGGAAGACAAGUUGGAAGUGAAAUCUAUGGGCUCAACCCAUAAACUGCUUUCAAAACUGUUUUUCUUGAGUAGUGCAGAGGUAGGCGGAAUUCCCGGUGUAGCGGUGGAAUGCGUAGAUAUCGGGAGGAACACCAGUGGCGAAGGCGGCCUACUGGGCACCAACUGACGCUGAGGCUCGAAAGUGUGGGUAGCAAACAGG